CCGUCUUGAAACACGGACCAAGGAGUCUAACAUGUGCGCGAGUCAUUGGGUCACACUAAACCUAAAGGCGCAAUGAAAGUAAAGGCAGCCUCGGGUUUGCCUAGGUAGGAUCCUUUUUUCUCUUUUGAGAGGAGGCGCACUACCGGCCCGUCUCGUCCGCGUUGCGGUGAGGCGGAGCGAGAGCGUACACGUUGGGACCCGAAAG
rnacentral:rRNA from 1 species